AUGUAUUCCAGGUGGAUUGGCGAAACGCUGCGCAGCUGCGACUGCGACAGGUCGAUCUGGUGCGAGGCCAGGGAUGCAUC
rnacentral:tRNA from 1 species